UACGUAGGGCGCGAGCGUUGUCCGGAAUUAUUGGGCGUAAAGAGCUCGUAGGCGGUUUGUCGCGUCGGCCGUGAAAACUUGGGGCUUAACUCCAAGCUUGCGGUCGAUACGGGCAGACUUGAGUUCGGCAGGGGAGACUGGAAUUCCUGGUGUAGCGGUGAAAUGCGCAGAUAUCAGGAGGAACACCGGUGGCGAAGGCGGGUCUCUGGGCCGAUACUGACGCUGAGGAGCGAAAGCAUGGGUAGCGAACGGG
rnacentral:rRNA from 1 species